CAGAGCCCAUAAAAAGCAGAGAUCCAGUCUCUCAGUUCCCAGACCCUGGAUUUUUUCCCUAAACCCUGCAGCCUGCCACCUCUCACAAUGGGGCCACUCACACUGCAGCCUUCCUCCCAGACCAUCCUGAGGGGCCCACAUCCAACAGAAAUCCAGACUCCAUGGCAUCUGAACCCAGAACCCAGUGGAAUGUGGACAGGGCUCCAGCCCUGUGAUCUGCAGCUGCAGGGCCUGCCUCUCAGCCAAUCCCUGAGGACAAUGCAUUUUGCUGGAAGAUUUCAAAGCAUACCUUGGGUAACUGGAACAGAAGCCUGCUGGCACCUUUCCCCACUGCGGAACAGCAGAGAGGGAAACUGAAGCUCAGAGGUAGCACCUGGGAGAAGGAGCUAAAAGUCCAAGCUCCUAAUGGAGCAGAAGAAUCCUUCCCAUCCAUUUGGAUGGCAAGCAUGGAUACUGGGAGAAAUCUCUCCAUCCCUACAUACUCCAACUCUGGCCUGCCUAAUGGUCUGCAAGAUCCCUGCUGGAAGCAGACAAUAACAAUGAUAAUAUCCCUGUUUUUUUUUUAAUCAAACACCUGUUAUGGAGUAGGCACAGUUAAACACUUUAAAUGCAUUACCUCAUUUAAUCCUCACAACACUCCAAACGAUGUAGAUAUUUUCAUUAUCCCCAUUUUACAGAUGAGAAAACCAAGAUACAGGCAGAUCCUGUAACUAGCCUAAGGUCUACAGCUGGUAAAGCCAGAAUUCAAAC
rnacentral:lncRNA from 1 species